rnacentral:tRNA from 1 species
UAGCUCAGUUGGUAAAGCGUCUGCCUGCAAUGCAGGAGACCUUGGUUCGAUUCCUGG